GACUGGGGGAUGGCUCGGCUCGAGAGCUGAUGAAGGUCGUGACAAGCUGCGAUAAGCUACGGGGAGGCGCAUGAAUGCCUUGGAUCCGUAGAUGGCCGAAUAGGACCUCCUGGCUUUACGAAGUCAUUCCCGUAUUAAUUUACUGGAAAGGGAACCGCCCGAAUUGAAGCAUCUUAGUAGGGCGAGGAACAGAAAUCAAACGAGAUUCCGUUAGUAGUGGCGAAUGAACACGGAAUAGAACAAACCGAAUCCGCUUGGGAAACCUUGUGGAGAUGUGGGGUAUGGAUCACCUAUCGUCUAAAUUCACGAAGCAGAAGUCGAUCUGGAACGACGUACCAUAGAGGGUGAAAGUCCCGUAUGUGUAGUGAACAUGACCAAGUGGUGAAUCCUGAGUAGCGUGCGUUGGAUAUCGCGCGUGAAUAUGGGAGGCAUAAACUUCCAAUUCUAAAUACAACUCGAGACCGAUAGUAGACCAGUAGUGUGAACGAAAGUUGAAAAGUAUCCUGAGAGGGAUGUGAAAAGAACCUGAAACCAGUUAGGGACAGACUGAAUAGGCGUGAAAGCGAAGAUAUGAGCAGCGUCUAUUCGUGCGUUUCGAAUAAUGCCCCUGGGAGUCUUGAUCAUUGGCGAGGUUAAGCAGUUGAUCUGCGAAGCCGUAGGGAAACCGACAAGUCCGCAGCCCGUAAGGGUGAGGGACGAGAUGUGCUCGUCUGAAGUCAAUGGUGGAGGACCUGAAGCCUAUCGAUCUAUGCCUGGCCAGAUUGAAGCCCGAUGAAAGUUGGGUGGAGGAUCGAACCGUUGCUGAUGUGCAAAUCGCUCGGACGAGUUGGGUAUAGGGGUGAAAGUCCAAUCGAGAUGGGCAAUAGCAGGUUCCGCGCGAGACUACUCGUAGGUAGACCUCUGUGGAGAUAGAUUGUGCUGUAGAGCACUGAUUGGGUAUUUAGGGGGAGCGAUCCCUCGGUAUGCUGUCAAACUCCGAAGGUGCAAUCAUUGUAGAAACAGGGAGUGAGUCGCGGUGGGUAAGCUACCGUGACGAAAGGAGAACAGUCCAGCCUAGCGUUAAGGUCCCAAAGUACUAACUAAGUGUCAAAGACAAACCGUGUCCGUGGUCGAAAACAACCAGAAGGUGGGCUUAGAAGCAGCCAUCCUUGAAAGAGUUCGUAACAGAUCACUGGUCAAGCUUGCGGGCCGGGAAAAGGGACGGGGCUAAAGUUAGUCACCGAUACGCUAGACCAGCGAAAGCUGAUGUGGUAGCGCGGCGACAUGUUCGGGUAGAAGGUAGGCCUUGAGGUCUACUGGACCGUAUAUGUAUGAGAAUCUAGGGAAAAGUAGCAGCAAAGAGUGGUGAGAAUCCGCUCCACCGGAGGGGCCAGGGUUCCUCGGCAAUGUUCAUCAGCCGAGGGUUAGCCGGUCCUAAGGUCAUUCUUAACCGAAAUGAUCGAAUAGGGAAAUGCGUUAAUAUUCGUAUGCCUCUGUGCAAUUAUGGUGACAGCUUGGGCUAGUCUUACAGGUCAUAUGUCAGGCCUGAAGAUUGUAUAAGGAAUUGGAGAACCGUCAUGGUGAGAAGAUUCCGAAAUCAAUUGACAAUAUAAGAUGACGCCUAGGCUCCGUGAAAAGCCGCACAGAAGACCGUACCUAGAACUGACACAGGUGCCCCUGGGUGAGUAGCCUAAGGUGUGACGGGAAAAAUACCGCGAGGGAACUCGGCAAAAUAGCUCCGUAACUUCGGGAGAAGGAGUGCCAGCUUAGAGAUAAGCUGGUCGCAGUGACCAGGGGUCUCCGACUGUUUAAUAAAAACAUAGGCGACUGCCAGUCCGAAAGGAUGAGUAUAGUCGCUGAAUCCUGCUCAGUGCCGGUAUCUGAAAUCGGGGUUCAACCUGACGAAGGACCGGUAAACAGCGGGGGUAACUAUGACCCUCUUAAGGUAGCGUAAUACCUUGUCGCUUAAUUGGCGACUUGCAUGAAU
rnacentral:rRNA from 1 species